rnacentral:rRNA from 1 species
CGUGUAGGCGGUCUGUUAAGUCAUGUGUGAAAUCCCUCGGCUCAACCGGGGAACGACGCAUGAAACUGACAAGCUAGAGUACCAAAGAGGGGGGUGGAAUUCCCGGUGUAGCGGUGAAAUGCGUAGAUAUCGGGAGGAACGCCGGUGGCGAAGGCGGCCCCCUGGUUGGAUACUGACGCUGAGACGCGAAAGCGUGGGGAGCAAACA